rnacentral:rRNA from 1 species
UGAGCUUGAUUCCCUGGCUCAGGACGAACGCUGGCGGCGUGCCUAAUACAUGCAAGUCGAGCGGACUUAUCCUUCGGGAUAAGUUAGCGGCGGACGGGUGAGUAACACGUAGGUAACCUGCCUAUAAGAUCGGGAUAACUAUCGGAAACGAUAGCUAAGACCGGAUAAUUGGUUUUCUCGCAUGAGAGAAUUAUGAAACACGGAGCAAUCUGUGGCUUAUAGAUGGGCCUGCGGCGCAUUAGCUAGUUGGUAGGGUAACGGCCUACCAAGGCGACGAUGCGUAGCCGACCUGAGAGGGUGAACGGCCACACUGGGACUGAGACACGGCCCAGACUCCUACGGGAGGCAGCAGUAGGGAAUCUUCCGCAAUGGACGCAAGUCUGACGGAGCAACGCCGCGUGAGUGAUGAAGGUUUUCGGAUCGUAAAGCUCUGUUGCCCUAGACGAACAGCAAGAGGAGUAA